rnacentral:rRNA from 1 species
UACGGGGGGGGCAAGCGUUGUUCGGAAUUACUGGGCGUAAAGGGCUCGUAGGCGGCCAACUAAGUCCGACGUGAAAUCCCCAGGCUUAACCUGGGAACUGCGUCGGAUACUGGAUGGCUUGAAUUCGGGAGAGGGAUGCAGAAUUCCAGGUGUAGCGGUGAAAUGCGUAGAUAUCUGGAGGAAUACCGGUGGCGAAGGCGGCAUCCUGGACCGACAUUGACGCCUGAUGAAGCGAAAGG